rnacentral:rRNA from 1 species
UAGGGAAUCUUCGGCAAUGGACGAAAGUCUGACCGGGCAACGCCGCGUGAGUGAAGAAGGUUUUCGGAUCGUAAAACUCUGUUGUUAGAGAAGAACAAGGACGUUAGUAACUGAACGUCCCCUGACGGUAUCUAACCAGAAAGCCACGGCUAACUACGUGCCAGCAGCCGCGGUAAUACGUAGGUGGCAAGCGUUGUCCGGAUUUAUUGGGCGUAAAGCGAGCGCAGGCGGUUUCUUAAGUCUGAUGUGAAAGCCCCCGGCUCAACCGGGGAGGGUCAUUGGAAACUGGGAGACUUGAGUGCAGAAGAGGAGUGUGGAAUUCCAUGUGUAGCGGUGAAAUGCGUAGAUAUAUGGAGGAACACCAGUGGCGAAGGCGGCUCUCUGGUCUGUAACUGACGCUGAGGCUCGAAAGCGUGGGGAGCAAACAGG